AGUCAUAUGCUUGUCUCAAAGAUUAAGCCAUGCAUGUCUCAGUACAAGCCAAAUUAAGGUGAAACCGCGAAAGGCUCAUUAAAUCAGUUAUGGUUCCUUAGAUCGUACCCACAUUUACUUGGAUAACUGUGGUAAUUCUAGAGCUAAUACAUGCCAACAGAACUCCGACCGGAGACGGAAGGAGUGCCUUUAUUAGAUCAAAACCAAUCGGUGCCGCGGUCUCGGCCCGGCAUCGUACAAGAUGGUGAAUCUGAAUAACGUUUGCUGAUCGCACGGUCUCGCACCGGCGACGUAUCUUUCAAAUGUCUGCCUUAUCAACUGUCGAUGGUAGGUUCUGCGCCUACCAUGGUUGUAACGGGUAACGGGGAAUCAGGGUUCGAUUCCGGAGAGGGAGCCUGAGAAACGGCUACCACAUCCAAGGAAGGCAGCAGGCGCGCAAAUUACCCACUCCCGGCACGGGGAGGUAGUGACGAAAAAUAACGAUACGGGACUCAUCCGAGGCCCCGUAAUCGGAAUGAGCACACUUUAAAUCCUUUCACGAGGAUCAAUCGGAGGGCAAGUCAGGUGCCAGCAGCCGCGGUAAUUCCUGCUCCGAUAGCGUAU
rnacentral:rRNA from 1 species